GAUGAACGCUGGCGGCGUGCUUAACACAUGCAAGUCGGACGAUGAAGCCCAGCUUGCUGGGUGGAUUAGUGGCGAACGGGUGAGUAACACGUGAGUAACCUGCCCUUGACUCUGGGAUAAGCCCGGGAAACUGGGUCUAAUACCGGAUAGGAGCGCCUGUCGCAUGACGGGUGUUGGAAAGAUUUUUCGGUCAUGGAUGGACUCGCGGCCUAUCAGCUUGUUGGUGAGGUAAUGGCUCACCAAGGCGACGACGGGUAGCCGGCCUGAGAGGGUGACCGGCCACACUGGGACUGAGACACGGCCCAGACUCCUACGGGAGGCAGCAGUGGGGAAUAUUGCACAAUGGGCGGAAGCCUGAUGCAGCGACGCCGCGUGAGGGAUGACGGCCUUCGGGUUGUAAACCUCUUUCAGUAGGGAAGAAGCGAAAGUGACGGUACCUGCAGAAGAAGCACCGGCUAACUACGUG
rnacentral:rRNA from 1 species